GGAUGUGAGGGCGAUCUGGCUGUGACAUCUGUCACCCCACUGAUCGCCAGGGUUGAUUCGGCUGAUCUGGCUGGCUAGGCAGGUGUCCCCUUCCUCCCUCACCACUCCAUGUGUGUCCCUCCUGCUUCCUCAUUCUUCUUCAGGAAAUGUCUUGCUCUUCUUAGCUCUGGAUCUUAUUUUAAGAUAAGACUGUCAUGUCCUUUGAAGACUCCACAGGGAUCUUUUUCAAAUUUCAAUGAGUUUAUAUAUUAGUCUGGGAAGGAAAUGAUAUUUUCAUUAUUUUUCAUCUUCC
rnacentral:snRNA from 1 species